UAGGACAAGGACUAUCCCCUCUGCAGAGA
rnacentral:piRNA from 1 species